GUGUGUGUGUGUGUGUCAAAUUCUUAUCUUCUAACCUCUCCCAAUGAACCUAGACCAUGGCCCAAUAAUAAUUUGAAUAUCCUGCGGACACUACGCGGGUUACACUAUGCAAAGAUAUAGUGGAUUAAUGGCGUCCUGAGCAGAGACUGAAGUCAAGCCCUCUGUGUGUGUUGCAGUGAUGGAUGUAUGGAGGGAACUGGGUACAGCGGUGGAGGCGAGGCGCUGUGGAUUCCUAUGAAGGUUGCUCAGUCGCACAUACAGCCAAAAAUUGCCUAAAUCUGUCGGGAAUAAAAUGACCAGGACAUUUGAUGUUUCCUUUAACCCCGCUUGUCCAGCUGCUUAGUCUCGGAUAACUCACAUGUAUGGAUUUUUUUAAUACCUGGGCUAUUAGUGUCAGGGAUUGCGGGGAGGUAGGACUCAGACGCAGAGUUCAAAGCAAAGGGACUUUAAUUGUCAAAAAGGUUAAAGCAAAAGUCCAAGGGGCAAAAACACACAGGAACCAGGGGAAAAACAGCAGGCAGGAAACAAUGAAACUCAAUGAAAGACAAGGACGCGACCAGUGACAACAGACAUACAUGGCUUAAAUACACUAGGGAGGUGCAGGUGAUUGGACACAGGUGGAAACUAUUAGACGAUCACAGGGGAUGACAUGACAAGGCAGGAAGUGAAGUUACCCGGGGACACGAAAACUACAAAAUAUAACAUGAAGUGAACCACACCGUGACAAUUAGUGGAUUUCACAACUGAGGGACUAAUGAUUUAAAUGAGGACUAUUCAACCAUUCAAAACAGAAAGCUGUUUCACCAAAAACUACCUUAGGUUUAGCUAACAAAAUCUUGUUGGUUAGGCUAAUAAAAUAAUUUGUAAAUUUGUGUUCAAAUAAUAACUCAUUAACAUUACAACGUAACGUUACAACCGCAACAAUUUGACUAAAUCUUCAAUAAAUAACGACUGCCCUUUCUUACCUAAUGUAACAAACAUUUGGUUUCACAUGAGACACAAACAGCUGUCUCCUGGGUGAAAAUCGGGUACGUUUGACCCAGUCACACCCCUUCCACUGUUUUAGUUUCUUAUGCUUUUAUACUAAGUUAGACUUAAGACUUAAUUGUCUACCGUCUCACAUGUCAGCCAACAUUUCACACAUAUUUAAUUGCUCUGACUGCAGAUAAUAGAUCCACCGAGUCAAUAAAAUUACCCCUGAGUGCAUUUCUCUACCUUCUUCACGUGGCCUCAAGCAUCUCAUCAUGUAUGACCGAUCCAACCAGGAAGUCAUCAGGAAGCUGUCCGGGGUCAAAGCAACAGGUUGCAUCGUUUAGCAUUUAAAUAGCUCUCUGUCCCUCUAUCGCUUCUCGGAGGAAGAUUGCACUGCCAGGUGCCUCUUAGCAUCCUAGCAUAUUGUGUUGUUUUCCAGGUUUGAGCUGUGCUUGGCUGACUGACUCCAGGACAGCUGUGAGUGAGGCCCAUUCACUGCUCUGUCAAGGGUGAAGAUGGAGGCACUGAACUGAGGCCAGCCAUCCUAUGCUACUCCGACAUGUCACCUUUUCUCUCUGUAAUGGCGUCUUGCGUGGCAGCUUGCAGUGCAAAGGAAGGAGAGUUUCUAUAUGUGUGUUAACAGAAGUAAAAAUUCUCAGGUGAACAAAUAACACCAAGUCCUCGAGCUCAAUCCUACAUAAACCUCAAGGUCUUACCAGGAGAUGGAUUAUGUAAGCUCCCUUGUGGGAAUUAUAUAAGAAACACUGAGCCUGACACCUCUCCGACGCAGGAAAACUGUUUCUCCUAACCAUAAUGCAGCAGACCAUUUAUUCCACGUUGAUUUGCUUAAUAUACAACAAAAACACUUUUACAUUCAUUAUUUGGCACUGGCGCACUUGUCCAACACAAGUUCAUCUUAUGUGUCUUUCUAUGAAAUCUUUUGCCACUUGUGGAUUUGUCCUUGUUUUGUUUAUUUUUUGGAGAUAUUUUAUGCAAUGAUUUAACAGGAGGUGUGUAGCCAUAUACGUAGAUGUAGUGCCGAUAAACGUGAUACAGUAUACAUAUGAUAAUACUGUGUAAAUUAUUCUGCUCCUCUUAAAUUAUUAUAUAUAUAUAUAUAUAUUCAGCUUACAGAUAUCUACCUUCCUACACUGUUAUUUUGAUUAAAAAAAUUUGAUAAUAAAAAAUAACCCCAAAAUCCAAAUUAGUAUAAAUUUUUACUUAUGAAUUUACUUUAUUUCUGAUUCAGUGUAGUUAGUUUCCGGGAUUUACGGUGUAUGGAAAAUGUACUAUUGUGUCAGCUCCAUCUGACAGCGAUAGUGGUGACAGUAAGUGUGUGAUUGUGUGAAAGGAGUCUUGGUGAAUAACAAGCAUGAUCUAACCCGGGACACGCUGGUCAGGGCAUUUGUGCCCAUCUGGUGGGCUCCCUGACCGCCCUGAAAGUGAACCAAUUUCACUUCAGUGUGCAUCUUCAUGAGCAUAACAUUGCAGAGAAAAGUUAAAGCCCACUCGGAGAGGAGACUGAAUGAAGAAAAGGCGUGCCAUGGUGCCAUGGUGCCAUGGCAACGAAGAAGUGAAGAGGUGAGCUGUGAACAGGAACAUGGUGCAAUUGUAAUAAUUUCUCAGGGCAUAUUUGUUCAUAAAAAUGUUUUAUUGGCAAAGUAACUCAUUCCCUCUGUGAUAUUUCGUCUAUUAAAUCUUUCCACUGGUUUAACAUCCAAGCCACCUUGCUUACCUGAGGGGAGAAUGUACUCAAUAAAGAGAGAGAGCGUGAGCACUUCAGUGUUAUGACCUAGGGACAGUUCAGUGUAGAACUAGGAAAAACCAACUCAUUUAUACAAUCGAGAGCCAAACGCCAGAUCGUCAUUACUAUGAACAGCUGAGCAAAUAAGCACACAGAUUUCAUGCAGUAAGUCACAGUCAGAAGGAACUAAUUUCAGCGAAUCGCAGUGUGCAAACACACGUGCACUUCAUGACAGGAGAGGUUGGUUCCUUUUCAUUCCAUCCAAUGCAUAUGGAGGCCUCCUGUGGGCUGCACGAGCUGAAGACUCUGCACCAGUAGAGACAGCGCUUUGAGAGAAGCGUGUCGCCUGAGUAAUGGCGACACUAGGGGCACGCUGACUGCUGCAGCCAGCUGUACUGACAUUUCUAUUAUCAAUCAUUUAAGGAAAAGGAAUGGCUCACUGUGGCACGUAUUUAUUGUGCUGUGGCUGUUGUCGCGCUGUGUAAAAGGCCCAGUAUUUUUAGUGGCACCACAGCUUAGAAAUCACUUAUGUUUACAGUUUAAAGUUGCCAAAUGGGUGUUAAACAUAUCUGGCAUAAGCUGGCACAGACUGCCUUGCAGUAAUACAAAGAAGCUUGUGUCCAUAACUGAAAAGUCUUGUCCACACCUCUCAGACUUGUCCUUUAAAAUGGUUAGUGAAAAGAAAACUUUUCAGAAUAUGGCAUUGCGCAUGCAGCUUUUUAGGUUUAUUCAUUUGUUUACCCCGAGGCCACUGUGACUGUCCUGUCUUGACAUGGGAUCUUGUGUCCUCUCCACCUUCUCAAUAAUUCAAUGGAAAGAGUAGAUGUCCGCUCUGGUAUAAUUACUGCGUGAGGAUGACGAGCUCCUCAGUCAAGUGCAAAAUGGGACCAUGCUUUACAGUAGCAGAGAGAGCUAAAGGACACAGUGUGUAUCGUGGCGCUGUCGGUGACAAAAGCUUCAGCUCCAGACAGGUGAUGAAACUGUGGGUAAUUCGUGGGGCAAAGUAUUGUCCUGACAUGCACUGUUGGUUUUUCUGUAAGAACUCAACUCAGCUGCAAAGCAGCUCCAAAACGGAAACAGUCAUUGGACACAGGUGCAACAUUUUAGUUAUGGAUUCUAAUGUGUGUCUUGGGCUUUAGUGUUGUUCUGCAAGCUCCAGAUAAACCAGAUUCAUCACUGUUACACAGGGGUGUGUGAGAACUGGUUUCAGCUCUGGGCCCAGCUUAGACGACAGACCCUGUUAAUAUAAAACCAGCCAACCCCCCAACUUCCUGCUCAGAGAAACCCUCGGCAUAAGCAUACCUGCCAAGAUAUGACUAAAACUGUUACUGUCACCAAGACCUAAAAACCUGGCAUGGGCAAAAGCUUGGCAUAAGAACCCCCCCAGGUUUUAAAGGAGCUAUAGUAGGAAGUCAUUAAAAGAUGUUUUGACACACUGUCUCUCACGGGUACCCAAGAAAAGGACUGUUCCAAAAUGUGUCACGUCUCCCCGAGUGGGAGUGUCACAAUUACGCGGAUGAGGAUGAAACUCCUCUCAUGGGUCUGAAAUCAUGCAGAAUGCUAUGGAUUGUAGGGGAAAUAAGGAAUUAACUGGCUAUAUUUCUCAAAAGAUUUUACAAAUAUGUUAUUGCUUUGAUAUCUUGUAUAUUCAGGUAAAGUCUUUUUAUGGCCAGAGGCUUUUGUCCGUGAAUGACGAAUAUUCCAUGACAAUUAGCUCUUUAAUACUUCAUAAGAUCAUAACCAUCACCUUGCACUCUGUAUUGCACACAGAUUUAACAAGGGACUAGCUUUUUGAUUAAUUUGAUCCAUAUGCUAUAGUAUUACUUCAAGCCACUUAAAGUGAACUACACUCUUAAAAGACAUCCACAAAAGCGUUCUGCGAAUUGUAGAUCUAACAAAAUCAAAGCUUCCCGUCCUUCCUCCCCUCACUGUCCUCUAAAUCUCAUGGCCGUGAAGUGAAAUCACUUCAAGUGAUGACGCAAGUUCAUGUCAUUUCGAUCAUAGUGUCAUUUGUUGUGUUUAAUCAAAAGGCAGUCUCCGUACCAUGCACACCCCAAGGUCUGCACAUCAGAAGUCAGUGCAGAAAGAUCCCAAUUAGAGCUUAAUGGAAGUUUCCCCAACACAAAAGAGGCUGUUAGUAUUUUAUCAGGUUCCAUUUUUUUCACCUAGAUUUCAAUUCUUAUUUGGCACAAAUGAUGAAUUCGCCUCUUUAAAGCUUUUUACGGGAGAUAAAAGCACAGUUUCCGACUAGCUUAGCAUAAAGUAGCCCAUUGUCAGCAUGUCUGAUUCAACACAGAACCCAAACAUGUAAUAGUUGCACGUUCGAAGUGCAAAGCCGUAUGAGGCGUGCUUGCUUUCUGGCACAGCAUGCACACCAUUAUGUUUGCACCAUUCAUUUGAAUCAAAGUAAUCACUUCUUUUUACAGCCCUUAUAUCAUAAAGCCUCAUGGUAUGGCCGACCCCCGUUUCCCACUGCAGACAUACCAACACUUUUUGGUGUUUUGAAAGGUAGACAUCCCUCAUAUUCCAGCACAUAAUGAGGGCGUAGAUCUACUUGAUUCUCCUGGUGGUUCUACUCUGCUGUCACAUACAUAAUUAGAGGAAUAGUCUUCACGCUUACGACUCGUUCAGCUCGAUCCAAAACUGUUCAUUUUGGGAUCUGUGACCACCUCAAAAUGAUUCCCUGGCAAUUCGCAAUUAUUAUUUUACCAGUGUUAUUUUUUCCACUGUGACAGGAAGCAACCCAGAGGAAAGCCUUCAGCAGCUGAGGAGCUCUGGCGCCGACAGGUGAUUCCCUUCUAAUGGAUGCUAAUGUGGUGGACAUGACUGAGGAUAUUCCCACUGGUGUACACUUACAGUUAAUUGAUAAUUGAGGUUCUAUGAAAAGAUGCACAUUAAAUCAUGGCCAAUGAGCCUGCCUAUAAGGUUGCAGCUAUUUAAAGAACAAGUCUCCAGAGCCUCUUAAGGUUUCCCCACAACUGGAAUGCACUUACAAUGAAUAAUUAAGGUGGAAAUAUUCUCAACUCAUACUAACUUAUUUAAGACAUUAUUUCAAACAUUAUACAUUAUUGCUAGAUGUUAAAAAGCAUAAACACUUUCACCUCCUCUGAAUCCUGGUUGCUUUAUCGAUCUAGAGGUGUUUCUGGGAUUUACUUGAAUUGAAUUAACAUGAAUAACCUCCAACAUGGCUGCACAAAAUUUCUGUUUUGCUGCUCUUUGCUAGCCGCUGAUAUCGUAACGCAAAGAUUCUUUCUACGGUAGAGGCGUUGCACGGAGGCUACAUGCAUUUUGUAUUUACAAAUUACAAAAGGUGCAGAGAAAGUUCUUCGUUCAAUCAUGUGCUGUUCAUCGUGUUUCUUACUUUUUGCUGCUAUGGAUUAGCCUGGGCGCCACGGUUGAAAUCAUAACGUCAAUAAAAUAUUUUUUAAACGCAAAUGUUUAUGAUUAGUGGGUUUUUGUGUGAAAUCACAAAUAACAAACUAAUGUUUUGUGUAGUGAAUUGUGUUGCAUUUCAUAUUACUUUUCCCCCACAUAUAAAACAAACCCAAUUACUUUGGAUCUAUUCAUUUAACAUCAUCAAUCAAAUAAUAAGAUGUUAUGGUCAUUGUGGUUCAAUUGAAAGUUCUGAAUCUUAUGAUCUAUGAGGUGACUAAACAUCCAGAGUAAUGGGACAAUAGGACACAGGAACACAUGUUGUCGUAAUUACACGAUACUAGAAAAAACAACAGCCGACUGAGGGAAUCCCUUUAAUAUGAAGGAUACCAUUGUGUCCUUGUAAUUCAAAUAUUUUAGCCUGUGCCUAAACGUGGACAAAAGAUACCAAACAAAUGUAUUUAUGUAUCUACUGACUUGAAAAGGUAUUUUAGCAGAUUUGGAAGAAAACAUUGUAUUGUCAUCUGAUCUCAACAUUUUUGGGGGAGUAUUAUGGCGAUAUGUAUUGUUUGUAUUAGACCGCUUUUCCAAGACACUGCUAUCACACCAGAUGUGGCGGCUGAGGCUGACUUGGGAUUGGAGCGACUGUACAAACAGAUCGGACCGGUCUAGCCGGGUGGGAUCCUACAACUGUGCUAGCUGACAGUCAGCCAUCUUGUUGUUAUCCAAUCAAUGAGUCAUCACCUGUUCAGUUAGAGCUACGCCACCUCAGGCUACACGGCCACAGGAGCUGCACUUCACCAGCUGGCUAAAACUGCUUACUUUCAAAUAAUUAGCACAGAUCAGAUGUUUUUUUUUUUCCCUUUUGAGAAAGAAGGAUCAAGUUUCAUGGGCAGUAAAAGCGAUGCCACUGGUGAAAAACAAACGCUGGUCAUCUGUCAGGUAUGGGGGUUAAAACAUCAGUUUGUUUAAAGGGCGCAUUAGUACCGGUUUAUUUGUUAUCACUGUUAACUUAAUUUUUACAUCAUAAAAGCAGUAUCCACCUGUGUUUUGCAUAUUUUUAGGAGAAUGUGGAUGUGUCGACAGUGUAGAUAAAAAGGCUAAAGAAAACACGUUUCUUUGUUUGUGGUUGCACUGCACUAACACACACAUCCUUAUUUUGUUGUUUCUAUGUGAACAUAUGUGUGUGUGUGUGUGUGUCUUCACAGAUUUCGGUUUGUGUAUUCACUGUGUUCUUUCCAACGGCAACUGGGACUCUUUUCUCUCUGAUCAGUCAGUUAUUGUAUCUCUGUCUUCACUUUAUAUGUUUGUUCUUUUUGCCAAACACAGUCCCAUUAAUAGUGCAUGGAUAAGAAAGAAAAAGGCAAAUAGAGAGCAAACCAGCAGCAAACCACCAAACUGCCAUGCACGCCCUUAUUUAAUAUUCUCUGUGCUUUCAGCCCAAGCUGCUCGUCCUGUGCACUGUCUAGUCAAAUCAUGACGGCCAGGAUUAAUCUGUCUCUUUAAGAAAAAACACCUUCAACAAGUAUAUAGAAAAGGAGAACCGUUUUAUUAAAGCACAUGUCGGUUGCUGUGUCUUUAUUGUGGCUGUAUUAUAAUUCGCUACGUUAAAAUACAACUGGGUUCAACAGAAAGGAAACAGAGUCCAUUUUGCAUGCAUGUCUUUUCAUCCUGGCUUGCACAGAAAUAAUGUUGUGCUCAGUCGGAUGCAUUUUAUUCUGUUUGAAAAUAUUCCCAUGAGAAUUUACAGUGGGCCUGAAGAGGAACUGGAUGGACGCAAACCACACUAACUCCGAGCUAAUCAAUGUGUUAGUGUUUAAGUGCAUGAUAGGGAGCCGCUUUGUCCAGAGGCCUUUCACAUGGUAAGUGAGUCCUAAUCUCUCAGCAGUACUAUGGCAAAACCAACCAUUUCUAAUGGCAAACAGUGGGCUUUUGGAAACUAUUGACUGCUGGGUGGUGUGAGAGACCGUGGGGAAAUGUCCUGGCAAGUGCUGCAAAUUCAGCUGCUCUUUUAUGCACAUAACACACACAAAUGUCUUUGUCCGUCUCAAUCAAAUAUACACUACCUCUCUGAAACACACACAGACACACACACACGCUCCCUCACACACACUCAGAGUACGGGGCCAGGUGGUGUAGUUAUUGCCAGAUCUUGCUCUCUGCUCUCCUGAGUGCAAUUGGUAACCUGAGCUGCCUGUUUGAAUAGCUCAGUUAUACCAAAAGCUUCCUUGCCGCAGAGAUAACGUGGAACAGUGCCCAAAACGCAAUUUGUCCCGGCUCAGGUUAGUCAUUGACUGCGUGAUGAAUACUGAAAUUGAGCUUUCAAAGUCACUUUAACGGUCUUUUCAUAAGAAAUUAGGGAGAUUUAAAAGUUGGUUGGAUGGCCUCACGGGCGCAGCUUGUAUCCAAAAUCUGUCAACCUGAGUGCAAGUUAGUCAGUGGGAAUGUGUCAGCUGAGGGGAUGUGACAGCCAGGCCCGGGGCCUCCUCAUUUAAUUAAGGAGCCCGUCUUGUUUUGGGGAACUCACAUCCAAACACGUCUUCCAAGAUCUCCCAGGGCAGUUUAUAUUUCAAACACGAUUCAGUACAUAUUUUGCGUUGAUGUUUUCUGAUUUAACCUGCAUGUGUCCAAUAUUCUGCCUCCUAGCUAAACUAGCUUUACUCUCGCUACCAAUAGCACUCAUUUGUCCAGCAAAUAUUUGUUUUCACCCCUCCCCCUCCCAACAAUAGCCUGUAGACCACAACACGCCCUUUGGAUCACAAUGACAACAAAGAUGAUUCUGUUAACUGUUGUUGGAUUGGUAGUACACAUUAACAAUGUCUAUGAUUGACUUAUUUAGAUUAGCUUCAGGUUGGAAUAUAACUGAAAGAGAACUCCGUUUUAUAUUGUACACUACAGUCUAGGCAUUAUGAUGAUAUUUUAAAAAUCUUGAACUUCACUGUACAGAAAAUAAUAUAAUAUCUCAGACCAUAUCAUGAAUUCAUUGCAAUAACAUAUGACUGACAUAAGUCAUCUUCAAUAAUAACUUAACCAAACCAAUAGAUAAUGGAGCCGAGUCCAUGCGCGCGUCCAUUACAUGAAAUAAAUUAUUUGUGCGAAUGAAUGAAAUGCGUGUCUCCCACGUGUCCCCGUCGGCCCGGGGCCGCCCUCUAUAGGCCCCGUGCGGUACUGCAGCAGCGGAGCGCCUCCUCCCUCCUCCUGAAGCCGGAGUUGCAUUCCUCUCCUCUCCAUUCACGCGUAGGGAGCCGCCGGAGAGAGAGCCCCGCCGCUCCGUGACCACAGUGGAAUGUCCCGAAGUUUUGGAAUUUAAAACCAUGGAAAGGAUAUCUAACCUCCGGAUCACUUGAACCUGUAAGUACCGUGGAAACUGCGGCGAAGGAUUUUGUUUUUUUAUUUUUCACGUGUAAGGAGCGGCGGUUUGUAGGGAGCCGGCUUAAAUAUUUGUUUCUGUCUCUCCAUUGCUCUGUGCGGGGAGUUUGUCGUUGUUUCCCUCCGUCGCCCCCCCGUCCUCCCCCACUUGCUUCUUCUCUGCUCUCGGGCGUCUGGUUUCCCUCACGAGUUUGAAGAGCUCGAGCCUCCAGCCUUGGUUUUGGUUGCAGUGAAACGGGCACGAAGAGGAACCGUAGAGUUCCUCCGAUAUCCAGUAAUGGGCGCGCUUGUGUGUGUGUGCGUGUGGUUGCGCGGUGUUGAACGCGCACUCCGGUGUGACCACCAGUCGGAUCGAUCCGCAACAAACUGCGGAUGGUCUGGACGCCGAACGGCGAUUUAACGAACUAAUUAAAUUAAUUCGAACAUAUCUUACUGAAUAAUUUCGUGGUUCGCACCCGGGGAGCGAACUAUUUUUUGCAAGUAACCCGGAUUUGGUGCAGCGCGAGGUGAGUUUUGUCUGGUUUGACUCCGGCCACAGUAAAAAGAAAGCGACUUUUCCUCAUUUGGGAGUUCUUCGCCGCACGAGUAACAUGUGGAGUUUUUUCUAAUAAAAUACAAGCUACCGGUGCGGGUACCGAGCCGGCGGAGGGUGCGUGUGGCUGUUGCACCGCCUCGGGAGAGGCAACGGCAGCACACGCACACCCGCGGGCUCAGGUACCCGCCGCCCCGACGCUCACGCGCGGAUGAAUAGUCCGUGGAGGCUGCGUGGAUUUAACCCCCCCCCCCCCCACCUCGUUCUUGUUUAUUUGUUCUUUACACUUGUACCGACCCUGCAUAGGCUUUCCUAAACGGACCUCUAAGGGUGGAGGUGUGUGUGUGAUUUCUCCUCUGGGUGCUCGCUUUAAAAGAAAAGCAAUCGAUUGAGCUAUUAGCUUUGAAUGAAUUGUAAAUUGCGUCGGCGUGGUGUGAAAGGCGCGUUAACGUGCUAACGAACGAGAGGCGCUUUGUGAGUGCUGUCUGUGGGUGUGUAGAGUGCGCAUUGCUUGUCAAGCUAUUCAAAAUGCUCUCAUUGCUCCAUCGGAUUCUCCUCAGUUCUUUCCCCUUUUUAGUAUUAGAAAAAAAUAAAAAAAUCAAAUCAAAUUACACUUCCCACGCCGACCCCCGCGCGCUAGUGACCCACGGAUUGUGGAUUCAUAAAUCAUAUUAGAAGAGUAAGGGACAUCAUUUUAACCUAUUUUGAUGGGUGAGUGGGGGGGGGGGGGGACCAGACUGCAGCCCAUCACUCCCCCUCCCCUUCCCUCUAAAACAAAUAAUCAGUGAAAUAUGAAGGGAGUCCUGGUUUGUAUUUAGUAGUUGAUACAGACAUGGCAGCGUUGAUGGAUGUAUCCUUUGGCACCACCCCAACACCCCCACAGGACACGGGCGUCACGUGACUAACGUGGUAACUCUUUAUCAGAAGUGACUUGACCCAUUUUUUCUUUUUGUCCCUCAGCCCAGUCAAGCGGCAGCUCCUUAUUGACAGUUAAAUGCGGUGGGCAGCGGGUUCCCAUUUAAAUGAUGCGGGAUGUGAACCGUGACGUGAGUGUUUGUUUAAGAGCCGGUGCCCAGUCCCACGGCUUUAAAUCAUUCCACGAAGGACUGACAGGCCGCCAGCCGCACAGUGGAGGUGCACCCGACUCCUUCCACCCAGAUCCUGACUUCACACCAGUGUGUGAACGAGGGCCGGGAGCGGCGGUAAUGGAGACCGAACUCUUUGCAGUAGCGCCGAGUGCGAAAAGUGGUCGGUGGCAGGAUCCUUUGUCUGAGCGGCAGGUUCCGAUGGUCUGUGGCAGGUUCCUUUGUCAGAACGGCAGGUUGCAGUGGUCGGUGGUAGGAUCCUUUGUUAGAACGGCAGGUUGCAGUGGUUUUUGGCAGGUUCCUUGGCAGAACGGCAGGUUGCAGUGGUCUGUGGUCCGGUAGUAUCCUUUUUCAGAAUGGCACAAGCCGAUCUUAGUUUGCCAUUUAGCGACAUGCAGAUUCCAUGUUCCAUGUCCAACGUUAAAUGAGUGUCUUCAUGAUCAUUGGUUUGCCGUAAAUGUUUUUUUCUAACUUUAUUAAGAAUCUAACACAACACAGCAAACUUGCAAAUAGCGCAGAGUAUUAAAUAAAGUGAUGUAUGUCUUAAUGCAAUGCUUUAGAAAUGAACCCAAAGGGAUUCUGUAUUUGCUCAUGAAGUCUGAAACAGGUAAUUUGGCCAAUGUUUCUUUUACAGCUGAGAGCCACAGAUUUAAUUUGUGUGUGUUGGGGGGG
ensembl:lncRNA